UUGGCACCUCGCCCUAUCUGAUGCAUUAUAAAGAACAUCCUUGCGACCAGCAGCAACACAAACCUGGAGAAUAUGCUAGUUUUUGCUCUGUUUGUUGCUGCUGCUGCCAUCUGGCAGGCUGCGGAUGCCAAAAUAUGUCAACGUGGUUUCACGAAACACAGAUGGAGCUGUUACUGGUUUUCACCGAAAUCAUUGAUCGGAUCGUGGAUUGAAGCCAAGGAAUACUGCGAAAACAUGAAUUCUUACCUCGCCAUUAUUACGUCAGCCCCAGAAGACAACUUCAU